rnacentral:rRNA from 1 species
GACGAACGCUGGCGGCGUGCCUAAUACAUGCAAGUAGAACGCUGAAGGAGGAGCUUGCUUCUCUGGAUGAGUUGCGAACGGGUGAGUAACGCGUAGGUAACCUGCCUGGUAGCGGGGGAUAACUAUUGGAAACGAUAGCUAAUACCGCAUAAGAGUAGAUGUUGCAUGACAUUUGCUUAAAAGGUGCAAUUGCAUCACUACCAGAUGGACCUGCGUUGUAUUAGCUAGUUGGUGAGGUAACGGCUCACCAAGGCGACGAUACAUAGCCGACCUGAGAGGGUGAUCGGCCACACUGGGACUGAGACACGGCCCAGACUCCUACGGGAGGCAGCAGUAGGGAAUCUUCGGCAAUGGACGGAAGUCUGACCGAGCAACGCCGCGGGAGUGAAGAAGGGUUUCGGAUCGUAAAGCUCUGUUGUAAGAGAAGAACGAGUGUGAGAGUGGAAAGUUCACACUGUGACGGUAUCUUACCAGAAAGGGACGGCUAACUACGUG